UCUUCCUAGCUGUAAGAUAAAAAGAGAAAUGGAGAGGGAUUUAAUAUGUACAAAGAGUAUUAUUGGAAGAGAAAGACCACGAACGACAAACCUGAAGGUGAUUCUCCUCUAAACUGACUUUUAAAUUGCUGCCGUUGCGAUAAACAUCCAGUUGUUCUAAAUCUCUCAACAUUGACAGAUCUGGAAAUUCUUGUAGGCUUGUACAAUCUUUAACUGUAAGGGAUUCAAGAUGAGGUGGAAGUUUGUGGAGAGAUUGAAGGCUGCAGCAUCUGGUGAUGGACAAUUUAAACAAGUG
rnacentral:lncRNA from 1 species